GUGCAAGUAACGCGCACAUUCGUGGUUUAUGAAAGUGUUGAAUGCAGUUCUGGAUGGUUUUCGGUAGAUCGUAGUUAUGCGAAAGCCACGCGGGAGAACAAGAAGACAAUUGUGGAAUAUAGUUUAUGAUAUCAUUGAUCCAAUCAAGAUAGUGAGAAACGCGUACGUAGACGCCUGGCACACCGGCCUGGCCACAGCCGAU